AUUGAACGCUGGCGGCAGGCCUAACACAUGCAAGUCGAUCGAGUGGCGGACGGGUGAGGAAUGUCUGGGAAACUGCCUGAUGGAGGGGGAUAACUCCUGGCAACGGUUGCUAAUACCGCUUUCCAUCGGCUGUGUCCCGAUGGGAUUGGCUAGUAGGUGGGGUAAAGGUUCACCUAGGCGACGAUCCCUAGCUGGUCUGAAGGGAUGACCAGGCACACUGGAACAAAGACACAGACCAUACUCCUCAGGGUGGCAGCAGUGGGGAAUAUUGAACAAUGGGCGCAAGCCUGAUGCAGCCAUGCCGCGUGUAUGAAGCAGGCCUGCGGGUUGUAAAGUACUGGCAGCGGGGAGGCGUUACCCGCAGAAGAAGCACCGGCUAACUCCGUGCGAGCAGCCGCGGUAGUUC
rnacentral:rRNA from 1 species